rnacentral:rRNA from 1 species
UGGUAUGGCCAUACCACCUUGAAUGUGCCCAAUCUCAUCUGAUCUCAGAAGCUAAGCAGGGUCCAGCCUGGUUAGUACUUGAAUGGGAAACACCAAGAAAGGGAGACUCCAUGAGGA